rnacentral:tRNA from 1 species
GGUAAUAUAGCCAAGAGGUUAAGGCGAAGGUCUGGCAAAACCUUUAUCCUAGGUUCAAGUCCGAAUAUCACCU